rnacentral:rRNA from 1 species
GAUGAACGCUGGCGGCGUGCCUAAUACAUGCAAGUCGAGCGAACAGACGAGGAGCUUGCUCCUCUGACGUUAGCGGCGGACGGGUGAGUAACACGUGGAUAACCUACCUAUAAGACUGGGAUAACUUCGGGAAACCGGAGCUAAUACCGGAUAAUAUAUUGAACCGCAUGGUUCAAUAGUGAAAGACGGUUUUGCUGUCACUUAUAGAUGGAUCCGCGCCGCAUUAGCUAGUUGGUAAGGCAACGGCUUACCAAGGCGACGAUGCGUAGCCGACCUGAGAGGGUGAUCGGCCACACUGGAACUGAGACACGGUCCAGACUCCUACGGGAGGCAGCAGUAGGGAAUCUUCCGCAAUGGGCGAAAGCCUGACGGAGCAACGCCGCGUGAGUGAUGAAGGUCUUCGGAUCGUAAAACUCUGUUAUUAGGGAAGAACAAAUGUGUAAGUACCUAUGCACGUCUUGACGGUACCUAAUCAGAAAGCCACGGCUAACUACGUG